rnacentral:rRNA from 1 species
AUGACUUCUGGGCUUGGCAACCGGAUAGAAAGGGAGCUUUAUCAGUCGGAUCAGCCUACUGAUUCUUGGUCAAACCUAAAACGGAUCGACAGUUUGAUAAUCGCCGUAGUUGCUUUUCCAUCUUGGAAUUCAAAUUUCACACAACUGGACGGCGAAGAUAGGCUCAGGAUACUGACCGACGAUAUUUUACUGUCCAUCUUGGGGAGAGUCAGUUCACGUGUGGCUGCAAGGACAAGUGUGCUCUCUACACGGUGGAGGCAUCUUCCUUGGUUGCUGCCUGAGCUCAGCAUCAAUGUCAGGGAUUUCCUAUCAGCUCCGUGCGCUGACCCUAUUGAGGAUCAUGAUAUGGAACAACCUAUGGCGUCUUUAACCAAAGCAACCAGGAUUGGCCCGAUGAUAGGUGAUGCAAUCGACAGUGGUUCGUUGAAAGAUUUGGAUCUCACCAUUCUUGAUGAGACAGAUGCUUUGGACCGUUGUAUACAUACUCUCACGCUGGAUUUCCAAGGAGAAAACCUUUGGUUGCAACCUCAAAUGGAGGAACUCCGCGCUGCAUUCAGCAAGCUAAGGAAGCUGUACAUACGUGGUAUAUUUGUUGAAUUUGACAUUUUAUGGACAACGGCCUUUCUUGUGGCAGCACCAUCUAUCGAAAUGUUGCAUAUUGAGUUUUCACGAACAUACCAAGGGAUCAAGGAUAGCAUUGUGUUCGCCAUCGGCACCGAGAUGCACCAUAAGGUUCAGAUAGAUAGUGCUGUCGCAGCAGCAGCAAAGGAAACGGUUUGGGCCUUUGGGGCACCUAUAGGGUGCAAGCAAAGGCAACUAGAGAGUACGAUUUGGAUCAAGGCGUACUUCUUGGUGGGUAGAAGUGACGCAUCUCAGUGUCGGGCGAAGUUGGGGUAG